CGAAUAGGGGCAACCCUUAGUAAAGCGGCGCACGGGUGCGUAACACGUGGAUAAUCUGCCUGGAUGCUCGGGAUAACCAGUCGAAAGAUUGGCUAAUACCGGAUAAGCCCACGGUUUCUUCGGAGACUGAAGGAAAAGGUGGCCUCUGUAUACAAGCUAUCACAACCAGAUGAGUCCGCGGCCCAUCAGCUAGUUGGCGGGGUAAUGGCCCACCAAGGCGACGACGGGUAGCUGGUCUGAGAGGACGAUCAGCCACACUGGAACUGACACACGGUCCAGACUCCUACGGGAGGCAGCAGUGGGGAAUUUUGCGCAAUGGGCGAAAGCCUGACGCAGCAACGCCGCGUGUGUGAUGAAGGUCUUUGGAUUGUAAAGCACUUUCGACCGGGAAGAAAACCCGUUGGCUAACAUCCAACGGCUUGACGGUACCGGGAGAAGAAGCACCGGCUAACUCUGUGCCAGCAGCCGCGGUAAUACAGAGGGUGCAAGCGUUGUUCGGAAUUAUUGGGCGUAAAGCGCGUGUAGGCGGCGUGACAAGUCGGGUGUGAAAGCCCUCAGCUCAACUGAGGAAGUGCGCCCGAAACUGUCGUGCUUGAGUGCCGGAGAGGGUGGCGGAAUUCCCCAAGUAGAGGUGAAAUUCGUAGAUAUGGGGAGGAACACCGGUGGCGAAGGGGCCACCUGGACGGCAACUGACGCUGAGACCUGAAAGCGUGUGG
rnacentral:rRNA from 1 species